rnacentral:rRNA from 1 species
GACGAACGCUGGCGGCGUGCUUAACACAUGCAAGUCGAACGCCGUGGCGAAGGGGUGAGGAAUAGGUGAGUAACCUGCCCUCAUUUUUGGGAUAAGCCUUGGAAACGGGGUCUAAUACCGGCUAAAGGGGGAUGGGCUCGCGGCCUAUCAGCUCGUUGGUGGGGUAGUGGCCUACCAAGGCGGUGCCGGGUCGCCGGCCUGAGAGGGUGACCGGGCACAUUGGGACGGACAGACGGCCUAGAGUCCUACGGGAGGGAGCAGUUGCGGAAAUGGCAGAAUGGGCGAAAGCCUGAUGCAGCGAGGCUGCGGGGGGGUUGAAGGCUUUCGGGUUGUAUACCUCGUGCGGUAUCGAACGGGUAGGUGGAGAAGAAGCGCCGGCUAACUACGUGCCAGCAGCCGCGGUAAUUC